AAGUGGAGGGCAGGAGGGUUCAAUGCGCCUCACACCCACCCAGUCAGAAAAGGUUAAAAAGGAGCAGCAGCAGCAACAGAGAAAACUGAGAACCAACACCCUCUCCAAGAAGAAUAUAGGCUUUAAAAAAUCAUGACACCUGCAAAACACGCAAGCAGCUCUUCCUCACAGGUUCCCUCUCUGUGGACCUUUUUUUGCGGGGGAAGAUGGAAUGGAGGGCGAGGAAAGCAGACUAGCACUUAGGGGAGGCCGGCCUGUGGAUGCCUGGUUGGCGGUGAAAUGAAUGCUUUAUUCCACAAAGGAAAUGAAAAGAAAAAAUACGUGAGAAUUUGGUUUUAUUCCGUUGCAAAGAAGGCAAUCUCAUAACAUCAGUAAAUGAAUAUGCUAAGUACAAAUUUGGCUGACAAAGCAACAGCAGGCUGUGUAUUUCCAUCUCUCAUGACAAUAAAG
rnacentral:lncRNA from 1 species